GACGAACCGUGCGAACGUUGUUCGGAAUCACUGGGCUUAAAGGGCGCGUAGGCGGUCGACCAAGUCCGGGGUGAAAUCUUUCGGCUUAACCGGAAAAGUGCCUUGGAUACUGGUAGACUCGAGGGAGAUAGGGGCAGUUGGAACUUCCAGUGGAGCGGUGAAAUGCGUUGAUAUUGGAAGGAACUCCGGUGGCGAAAGCGAACUGCUGGACCUCUUCUGACGCUGAGGCGCGAAAGCUAGGGGAGCAAACGGG
rnacentral:rRNA from 1 species